rnacentral:misc_RNA from 1 species
GACGGAGGGCGCAAGCGUUGUUCGGAAUUACUGGGCGUAAAGCGCACGCAGGCGGUCCUUUAAGUCCACUGUGAAAUUCCGGGGCUCAACCCCGGAGGUGCAGUGGAUACUGAGGGACUAGAGAUCGGUAGAGGCUAGCGGAAUUCCUGGUGUAGCGGUGGAAUGCGUAGAUAUCAGGAGGAACACCGGUGGCGAAGGCGGCUAGCUGGGCCGAUUCUGACGCUCAUGUGCGAAAGCGUGGGGAGCAAACAGG